rnacentral:rRNA from 1 species
GGCUACACACGUGCUACAAUGGGUAGAACAGAGAGUCGCAAAGCCGUGAGGUGGAGCUAAUCUCAGAAAACUAUUCUUAGUUCGGAUUGUACUCUGCAACUCGAGUACAUGAAGUUGGAAUCGCUAGUAAUCGCGAAUCAGCAAUGUCGCGGUGAAUACGUUCUCGGGUCUUGUACACACCGCCCGUCACACCACGAGAGUUGGUUGCACCUGAAGUAGCAGGCCUAACCGUAAGGAGGGAUACUCCGAGGGUGUGAUUAGCGAUUGGGGUGAAGUCGUAACAAGGUAUCCGUACGUGAACGU